rnacentral:rRNA from 1 species
UACGGAGGGUGCAAGCGUUAAUCGGAAUUACUGGGCGUAAAGCGCGCGUAGGCGGCUGAUUAAGUCGGGUGUGAAAGCCCCGGGCUCAACCUGGGAACUGCAUUCGAUACUGGUCGGCUAGAGUACAGGAGAGGGGGGUAGAAUUCCUAGUGUAGCGGUGAAAUGCGUAGAUAUUAGGAGGAAUACCAGUGGCGAAGGCGGCCCCCUGGACUGAUACUGACGCUGAUGUGCGAAAGCGUGGGUAGCAAACAGG